GUCAGAAGACUGUUCCAGGUUGAGAAACUAGCAUAUGCAAAGGCCUCAGGGGAAAGAGCGUGAAGCAAGGUAGAGGACUGAAGGAAGUGUGGUUGGGCUGGAGUAGAAGGCAGUAGGUGGGGAUUAGCUCAUGAACAUUCUGAGAAGCCAAGCUGAGGGAUUUAGACUCUAUCCUUGAACCAUGAAGCAUUUUGCUCAAAGAGUGAUUCUAAUCAGCAAUGCUGGCUGCUGGAUGGGGCUUGUCUAGACACGUGUCAAGCAAGAGAUGAAGGUGGCCUCGACUCAGGUCCUCCUGUAGGUCCUGCCCUCAGCAGAAGUUUGGAACCUUCUGAGUGAGCCGGCAUGAAUGCCCUGCUUCCCCUCUUGCACAACUCAUGGCUUCUCUACUGCCUGCUGAUGGAAUUAUUGAUUGUUUGUCAUAUCGUCAAGACAUGUCAGAACUUGCAGCAGAGACCUUGGCAGUCACAGCUCCCAACUCUUCACUGGACAAAAGAGCAGCCUAAGGCUCAGACCUGAGAAGUGAUUUCACCAGGGUCACACAGCCAGCUUGGGGCAGAAUUGGGAUUCAGGCACCUGUCUCUUGACUUCUCCUGUCUCCUCUCUCCAUUGCACCAGACGUGGAGAGACACAGAGAAUCUAAAAGAAGAAAGAAAAAAAAAGAUUCUUGUUGAAUAUCUUGGGUUUCUAGCUUUCAAGGACAGUUUUCUGAUUAGCAGCAACGAUGCCUCAAAAGCUAUGGUAGCUAGCUUGAAUGAACUUACGUAACAAACAUUUAUCACAGAACAUGUGGCAUCAGACACCUGCUAGAUCUGAGCGUUGGCGCCAAAGCUGCUUUCACUGUCAAAGGAAAGAGGGGGAAAAGGAACUUGGCUGAACAACGCUAGCAGACCUUUUACUAGAAAAUUCAGAGGUAAUUUCUGGAGGAACAGGAACAUAUUUCCAAGGCUCUUAAAAUGUAGUUAAAUGUGAUUGGGUGAAUUUAGUAGUUAAAAAAAUGAAGGGCACUGAGGACCAUUUGGUUCCUAAGGCCUCUUCCAGACAGGGCCCUUCUGUCUGCCUAGGUCAUAGAGUCCUGGAAGCCUCAAGGUGGGUAGGCCCUGAGGUUGCCCAGAGCAAUGUCUGAGGUUGCAGGUCUCCAUCUAGGCUCCCAUAUAAACACAUCCCAAUGAACUCAUGGUUCUCACUGGAAUCUCUUCUCAUUAGUAGAACAUGACCAAAGUCAAAGAGACACGGGCCAUUUGUUUCUAAAAUGGAGUCCAUCCAUACAAAGUGGAUUCUUUGACCUAUUUUGGAGGUCAACCUACAACAACAAAAUGGGACAGUUGCCAAAUAUGUUCCCUUUGGCUACUCACAGUUCCCUUUGGCUACUCACAAACUCUUGAACUGUGAGAUCUGUUCAUUUGUCGACUCAAUUAAUAACUAUCAUUGAGAGAGCAUUGGACUAGAAAACCUGUUGCACCUGCCAGUGUAACAAGCUCUCUGAACCUCAGUUUCCUCACGCAUAAGAUACUACUCAUUAUCUGCCUUGCAGACCUCACUUAGUUAUUGUGAGCAUCAAAAUGUAUGACACAUGGAAGCACUGUUUAAACUCUAAAGCCUGCCAUGAGUGUGAAGGAUUGUUGCUACUACUUUGUGCCCAACAGUGUGCUAGGCACUGGGGGGUAACAAAAGAAAUGUAAGAAAUGAUCCCUACCCUCCAGAAACUUACAACUCCGUAUUGGGAAACCAAGAUACACCCAAACUAAACAGGUAUGUCACACCUCAAGGCUGUAUUUACUACUUAAAUGAUAGCUAAGGACUCCGAGCCCUUUAGGAGUGCAGAGAAGUGGGAGAUCAUUAAUUGGCUAGAGAAGUUGAGAAUAUCUCCUGGAGGAGGUGGGGCGUGAGUUGGGUGUUGUAGUAGACAGAGAAGAUUAAGAAGGUCUUCAUGGGUGUGGCACAACUCAGUUAACCAGUGGAGGGUUUUCUUGGUAGACUUUGGGUGGACCAAUUUACUUGGAGUUAGAACUUCCAGUCAAGCUGGAGUUAGGGAUUUAAGAAUUUGAGGAGAGUUACAGGUAAGGGGAAGUCAGAGCAGUUUUUAGACCAAUGCUAGGUUAUGAUGAAAUGAUGACUUGGGAGGAUGUAUAUGUAAAAGAAGGACUUGUAGGGAGAUACAGGAGAGAAGAGGCUGCUGUAGAAAUCCAGGCUGGGGAUGAUGUGGUUCUGGACCAGAUCAAUGGAAAUGAUAAGAGAAAGAAAUCCAUGUAAGUGAAGGAUAGUUAUGUUUGUAGCAGGAGGACAAGUCAUGUCCUCCUCUCUUGGUGUCUAAACUUUGGGAUUUGAGUUAAACUGGGCAAGGAGGGGCAAAAGUAGGGAGUAUCUUCAUAUGUACAUUGGAAGAUUCUUGAAAAUCCAAAUUGAUCUCACAGUGUCUAUUCGUCUAUCUAUCAAAAAGAAUUUGAAGUUGUCGGCUAAUCCACAGAAUCAUAGAUUUUCAGAGUUGGAUGGGACCAUAAAGGUUACCCAGUCAUAUGUGUGGCCAUUUAAGAAUUUCUGCUCCAAUAUCCCCACCAAGUUCUAAUCCAUCCUCUUCCUGAACCUCUCUAAUGGUGGGAGUUCAUUACCACUUGAAGACCUUUCCACGGUUGGAUCUGUCUGUAGUUUCACAGUGUUUUAAUUUUGAGCUUUUGUGAAUUUUCCUGAUUGGAUUUCUUAUUGGCCUCCAGGGUCAUAGAGAACACUUUAAACUCCUCUUACAUCUUCUUGAUUCAGCCAUUUAAUUGAAGAUGCAGGCCCCGUCUUCCUGAGUUUUCCUCAUCCCCCUCAUUUGUAAAUUACUGUUUACAUUAAAUAAGUAAAGUGCCACAAAAUCUCGUCACUUCUAUUUUUAUUUAUCACUUGACCCAAAGACAAGAGAGUCAGAUUCUGGACCUUACA